rnacentral:rRNA from 1 species
CCUACGGGAGGCAGCAGUGAGGAAUAUUGGGCAAUGGGCGCGAGCCUGAACCAGCCAAGUAGCGUGAAGGAUGACUGCCCUACGGGUUGUAAACUUCUUUUAUAAAGGAAUAAAGUGAGGCACGUGUGCCUUUUUGUAUGUACUUUAUGAAUAAGGAUCGGCUAACUCCGUGCCGUCAGCCGCGGUAAUACGGAGGAUGCGCGGGUUAUCCGGAUUUAUUGGGGUUAAAGGGAGCGUAGAUGGGUUGUUAAGUCAGUUGUGAAAGUUUGCGGCUCAACCGUAAAAUUGCAAUUGAUACUGGCAGUCUGGAGUGCAGGUGAGGUAGGCGGAAUUCGUGGUGUAGCGGUGAAAUGCUUAGAUAUCACGAAGAACACCGAUUGCGAAGGCAGCUUACUAAACUGCAACUGACACUGAUGCUCGAAAGUGUGGGUAUCAAACAGGAUUAGAUACCCCGGUAGUC